CCCUACCCCCACCCCUGUACCGUCACGGCCUCUGCCGCUGGGCGACGCUCCUCCUAGCCCGCUGUCGCCUGCAGCUCCAGGGGACGCCUUUCUGUCCUGGCUUUAGAGGACCGUGAUCAAACGCUCCCGCGAUGCCACUGUUCUCACGACUCCCACUCCAGUAACCAGGUGGUUUGUGAGAGCCAAGAGGGAAGCCGGCAAGCCCGAGCCUAAAGUUAAGGCUUUCCGCCCGGGAUUUGCCACUGAGGUUUGUAACACGCACAAUUUGAGCAGAAAAGUUUUUGCAGUUGACCAAUAAUAAGCUGGGUAGCUUGAUCUGAUAGCACCAUUCUUACAUUAACGCGUGCCAAGGGUUUUUAAUGCGUGGGUUCUGCUAAACCGAAACACCUAACAGAGAGCUGGGGCCUCCAUUGUGUUGCCCAUCCUGUGUAGCAUCGAAUUCGCUCACUAUACACCUGAUACUUCCUCUGUCUUUUCUCUGCGACAGCCAGAUGUUAUUCCAUCUUAAAGUGCUUCUCAACUUGUGGGUCGCAACCAGUUGAGAGUCAAAGGACCCUUUCACAGGGGUGUCACCUAAGACCAUCAGAAAACACAGAUCUCAUCAAGCUGUGAAUGUUUCUUUGAAAAACUGCAAGUCUAAAAUGGUGCAUACAGGCAAAAUAUGGAAAGAAAACUCAGACAAGAUACAGAGAAAAUGGACUAUGGUAAGGUGAUAGUUUCACUUUAAAUUGUUCACAUGUGUUGUGGGCCUUGCUUGUCAGCUCUCUUAAGUGACAUUCAGUUCUCUUCAGGGACAAGUCUUGCUGGAGGAUGACUGACAGGACUUGCCAUUCCAAGUGACAUAUUAUGAGAUCAAUUAGAUCACCCCGUAAAAAUGGAAAAUUAUAUUUUCCCAUUAUAAUUUUUGUAUAUGUCGUUAAGAUUAAAACAUAUAGUAUCAAUA